rnacentral:rRNA from 1 species
UACGGGGGGGGCAAGCGUUGUUCGGAAUUACUGGGCGUAAAGGGCUCGUAGGCGGCCAACUAAGUCCGACGUGAAAUCCCCAGGCUUAACCUGGGAACUGCGUCGGAUACUGGAUGGCUUGAAUCCGGGAGAGGGAUGCGGAAUUCCAGGUGUAGAGGUGAAAUUCGUAGAUAUUAGGAAGAACACCAGUGGCGAAGGCGGCUCACUGGCCCGGUACUGACGCUGAGACGCGAAAGCGUGGGGAGCGAACAGG